AAGGAAUUAGUUAAAUAAUAACAUUAGAAUGUCAAUCUAAAAUCACUAACAAAUUAGUAUUCCUUG
rnacentral:tRNA from 1 species